rfam:Candidatus Levybacteria bacterium RIFCSPHIGHO2_01_FTLL_37_33 rifcsphigho2_01_scaffold_30775, whole genome shotgun sequence.
GUUAUUUUGUUGAGGGUUCUGUCUUGCAGACAGAGGCAGACGGGUGAGUAACGCGUAGGAAUCUACCUCUGGGUGGAACAUAGCCGUCCGAAAGGAUGGGUAAUAUUCCAUAGUCCCUGAGAGAAAUCGAAUGGGUAAAGCAUUAACUUUGCGCCGAGAGAGGAGCCUGCGUCCUAUCAGCUUGUUGGUGGGGUAAUAGCCUACCAAGGCGAUGACGGGUAGCUGGACUGAGAGGUCGAUCAGCCACAACUGCACUGAGACACGGGCAGUACACCU